rnacentral:rRNA from 1 species
CCUACGGUGAGCAGCAGUGGGGAAUAUUGCACAAUGGGGGAAACCCUGAUGCAGCGACGCCGCGUGAGUGAAGAAGUAUCUCGGUAUGUAAAGCCCUAUCAGCAGGGAAUAAAAUGACGGUAACUGACUAAGAAGCUACGGCUAACUACGUGCCAUCAGCCGCGGUAAUACGAAGGGGGCAAGCGUUAUCCGGAUUUGUGGGGUGUAAAGGGAGCGUAGGCGGCGAUGCAAGUCGGGUGUGAAAUCCAAUUGCUUAACCGUGGUACUGCUCUGGAAACUGUGGGGCUUGAGGGCGGGAGUGGCAGGCGGAAUUCCUAGUGUAGCGGUGAGAUGCGUAGAUAUUAGGAGGAACACCGGCGGCGAAGGCGGCCUGCUGGACCGUAACUGACGUUGAGGCUCGAAAGCGUGGGGAGCAAACAGGAUUAGAUACCCGUGUAGUC